UCCCCACCUUUUCCCCCCACCCCAGCUCUCUCUCUCUAUAUAAUCCUUGUAUAGCUCAACCAAUGAAUUACUAGCAACUAAAAAACUGCACGUGAAAUAAAUAGGAAAGAACGAAAGGAAACGAGAUUAAACUAGAAAGUUAAUCCGUUGCCAAGGUUACCACGUGCGCACUUUUCAAACAAACAACUCAAGCAAGCAUCCAGCUAAAACUAAAGCUAAACAACUAAGUUCAAGGAAUUUGGCAAUCCUGAGAUGGCUUUCCAACAGUGUGAUAUUAGAGCACUGGCUAAUCUGCUGAGGGAACCUGCUGAAGACAGCGAUAGUGACACAGAUAUUGUAUGUAGUGACUAUUCAUAUGGUCCUGGUCACAUUGGCCCAGAAAAGAAUUCCAAAGAUGGCACUGCUGAAAAAGGUUAAAA